rnacentral:rRNA from 1 species
CAUGCAAGUCGAACGGCAGCGCGGGGAGCUUGCUCCUUGGCGGCGAGUGGCGGACGGGUGAGUAAUGCAUAGGAAUCUGCCCAGUAGCGGGGGACAACCUGGUGAAAACCAGGCUAAUACCGCAUACGCCCUACGGGGGAAAGCAGGGGAUCUUCGGACCUUGCACUAUUGGAUGAGCCUAUGUCUGAUUAGCUUGUUGGUGGGGUAAAAGCCUACCAAGGCGACGAUCAGUAGCUGGUCUGAGAGGACGAUCAGCCACACUGGGACUGAGACACGGCCCAGACUCCUACGGGAGGCAGCAGUGGGGAAUAUUGCACAAUGGGCGCAAGCCUGAUGCAGCAAUGCCGCGUGUGUGAAGAAGGCCUGCGGGUUGUAAAGCACUUUCAGAAAGGAAGAAAAGCUGAGUAUUAAUACUACUCGGUCUUGACAUUAUAUUCAGAAGAAGCACCGGCUAACUCCGUGCCAGCAGCCGCGGUAAUACGGAGGGUGCGAGCGUUAAUCGGAAUUACUGGGCGUAAAGCGCGCGUAGGCGGUCAGAUAAGUCGGAUGUGAAAUCCCCGGGCUCAACUCGGGAAUGGCAUUCGAUACUGUCUGACUAGA